rnacentral:rRNA from 1 species
CCUACGGGAGGCAGCAGUGAGGAAUAUUGGACAAUGGGCGCAAGCCUGAUCCAGCCAUGCCGCGUGCAGGAUGACGGUCCUAUGGAUUGUAAACUGCUUUUGCACAGGAAGAAACAACAUUACGUGUAAUGUCUUGACGGUACUGUGAGAAUAAGGAUCGGCUAACUCCGUGCCAGCAGCCGCGGUAAUACGGAGGAUCCAAGCGUUAUCCGGAAUCAUUGGGUUUAAAGGGUCCGUAGGCGGUUUGGUAAGUCAGUGGUGAAAGCCCAUCGCUCAACGGUGGAACGGCCAUUGAUACUGCCAGACUUGAAUUAUUAGGAAGUAACUAGAAUAUGUAGUGUAGCGGUGAAAUGCUUAGAGAUUACAUGGAAUACCAAUUGCGAAGGCAGGUUACUACUAAUGGAUUGACGCUGAUGGACGAAAGCGUGGGUAGCGAACAGGAUUAGAUACCCUGGUAGUCCACGCCGUAAACGAUGGAUACUAGCUGUUGGGAGCAAUCUCAGUGGCUAAGCGAAAGUGAUAAGUAUCCCACCUGGGGAGUACGUUCGCAAGAAUGAAACUUAAAGGAAAUUGACGG